UCAUUAGCAUUCCACAGAAGUUAAGUAAAUUGAAAACACACUCACUGCCACGGCACUGCGAAGGAAGGAAACUGCGCUCGCAACAUACGCUUUCUGCUGACACGGUCCGUCUGUCUAGCCUCCCCAUGCACAGAGCUGGUCCUCUUGACUGGUAGAUUGACUUGGGUUGAAUCCAUAACUGACCCACAGGGAAUUCCAGAGAGAUCGCUGGAGGAGAUCUUAGGGCAGACGACUCCCAGAGACGUUUUUAAAUUGCCCAUUGCAUCGCUGACGUUGGAGGACAUCUGUCACUCUGAUCCACUGCUGAAGUUUGCACUGAAUUGCACCGGAGAGAUCUCUGCCAUGGUUGCAUCAAGACCACUCACGGUUUGGAGUCUGCUGCUAGGGCUGAGUCUUCUUAUACCCACUCAGAGCAAGGAAGAGGAAUCACUGGGCAAUGCCACGGUGAGACCAACCCCAGAAGAUCGUGGAGAUCAGUCCCCAAACCCAGACUUUUGCGACUUCACAUUUCACAUCCCCUGGUCUGGGAGCUCUUGCACGCAGACUACCCAGGCAACCACCACACCAGCCUCUCAGGAAGAGCUGGACCAUCUCAAGAUCUUGUUGGAGGACCUUGGAGGCAACCUGAAGAGCCUUCAGGAGGCUGCAGUUCUGGAGGCCGGCCAGUCCAGGUACCAGGACAUCGUUUCCCAAGCCCUUCCUGAUGUGAGAGAGGCCAAUGGGGAGUUCCAUGAGAUUCUUGGGAAGUUCCUGCAGGAGCUGGAGGAACACAUUCAUGCAGAUGACCAUCUGCACGCAGAGGACGAGAAAAAGAAGUUAAACGAACACUUGCGGGGAAUGGACAGGAUGCUGCGUGUGACCAGUCACCUGGCCGACCAGCUGGACCAAGCAUCCCAGGACCUCCUGGUCAAGAUGACCAGCCUUUCGGAGAAACCAGCCAUCCGGGUGGAAGGAAGCGCCCUGAAGACAUCUUAGCUGCUCAUCCCGUUCUCUGUCCACAAAAGCAUUAAAAGAAAGGCCUCAGCAUUCAUUGUGCAAUCGGUUCCAGUAAUUUUAGAUUUUUUUUCAUUGUUCACGUACUUUCCUCAUCUCAUGGGGAGACUGAGUGCGUAACCUCUUGCUCGUAAAAGCCUCAUCUUUUGCAGUUCUCAUACACGCCUGCACAGUGCAGGAAAAUCCCACACUACAAGCAGUAAAGGUAAAGGUAAAGGGACCCCUGACCAUUAGGUCCAGUCAUGACCGACUCUGGGGUUGCGGCGCUCAUCUCGCUUUACUGGCCGAGGGAGCCGGCGUACAGCUUCCGGGUCAUGUGGCUAGCAUGACUAAGCCGCUUCUGGUGAAUCAGAGCAGCGCACGGAAAUGCCAUUUACCUUCCCGCUGGAGUGGUACCUAUUUAUCUACUUGCACUUUGACGUGCUUUCAAACUGCUAGGUUGGCAGGAGCAGGGACCGAGGAACGGGAGCUCACCC
rnacentral:lncRNA from 1 species